GUAUGUAAUCUACCUUAAAUAGGGGGAUAGCUUCGAGAAAUCGGAAUUAAUACCCCAUAACAUUGCGGAAUGGCAUCAUUUUGCAAUUAAACCUCCGGGGAUUUAAGAUGAGCAUGCGGUGCAUUAGCUAGUUGGUAAGGUAACGGCUUACCAAGGCUACGACGCGUAGGGGGUCUGAGAGGAUGAUCCCCCACACUGGUACUGAGACACGGACCAGACUCCUACGGGAGGCAGCAGUAGGGAAUAUUGGGCAAUGGACGCAAGUCUGACCCAGCCAUGCCGCGUGCAGGAUGACGGCCCUCUGGGUUGUAAACUGCUUUUAUACGGGAAGAAAAGUUGCUACGUGUAGCAAAAUCGACGGUACCGUAAGAAUAAGGAUCGGCUAACUCCGUGCCAGCAGCCGCGGUAAUACGGAGGAUCCAAGCGUUGUCCGGAUUUAUUGGGUUUAAAGGGUGCGUAGGCGGAUCUUUAAGUCAGUGGUGAAAGCCUGCAGCUUAACUGUAGAACAGCCAUUGAAACUGAAGAUCUUGAAUUAGGUUAAAGUAGGCGGAAUGUAUCAUGUAGCGGUGAAAUGCUUAGAUAUGAUACAGAACACCGAUAGCGAAGGCAGCUUGCUGAACCUACAUUGACGCUGAGGCACGAAAGCGUGGGGACAAAAGGUUAAUUACAUACCUUGGUACCCACGCCAUAAAGAU
rnacentral:rRNA from 1 species